CCCAUUGUUUACUACGGGUAGCCCAUACUACAAGUGUAUCUGACAAAUAUAUACAUUACAUCAUUCCAACAAAAGGUUUAGUCUUGAUACAAAAGGCAUGGCCUCAAAAGACUUUCAAUAUGAGCAAACAACAUCCAAUCACAGUAAAGCAUUGCUCAAGCAUUAUUUCCUGCAUAGGUCUUCUGACCUGCAUCUAGAGGUGGACGGGAUAGGGUGAGUUCACAACUCAGUAGGAAAGUUUAUAACCAUCCUAAGUAUACCCUUAAAAACCUUGAAUUAAACGUUUAAUAACAUGCAUGAUAAACAUUUCAUAACCAUUAACAAAUAUGUAAUCAUGUCAAACAUGUAUGCAUGUGUUUGUUGGUUUCCUUAUUGCUUCUCCCCAUCCAUCCUUUCACAACUGAUAAAUUGCUGACUCCCAACAAUCUACAUGGCAGAUACAAUGCUCCAUAAGAAACUCGAUCAAUAUAAUAAUGACUAUUCUGGGACAUCACCAAGGGCAAGUCAUACCCCGUGUCUUUUGGGACUCAUACCCAAGGGCAGGACCAACCCCGUGUCUUUAGGGACUAAAACCCAGGGGCAGGACCAACCCCAUACACCCACAUCGGAGUGUCUUCCUCGAGGGCUUUAGGGACUUUCACCCAAGGACCCACGGUCCCACAUAAACAAUAUAUCAAAUGAUAAGACCUGUAGCAUCACAUAAACACUUCGCCACCAAUAAAUUCUCUGAAUAUGAUAUGUGAUAAUUCCAUAUCCUUCUUGCAAUGCAAUCACACCAUAAACCAUUUCGACAACACAAAACCAUGAAUCUUCAUACCAAUAUACGUUCCAACAUCAUGGUAACAUUUCAAUGCAAUAAACCGAGAUGCAAUGACACUUUAAAAGAUUUUAUGAAAUCAUAGAAAUAACAUAAAAUUCCAACAAAUAAUUCAAGGAAAGAAAUCAGAUACACCAUAGAAUAGCAUAAAAUUCCCUACCUUACAUCGACUUCCUUUUUGUGUUUCUUCUAAGUAGGCGAUCUUUGCCUAUUACGAGGAACUGAAAUGAAACAACAUAAUUUAGGUUUUAGUUUAUUGUUGCAAAUAUUUAAUUCUCACAUUCUCUAAUCUAUAUCCUACAUGUUUUCAAAUCAAAUUUGAAUUGAAUUAAACAAUAUUUACAAUGCAUAUUAAUUUCCCUAAUUAAUUACCAAACACUAAUUCUUUUGAUUUUCUUAAAGCCUAACCUAUUAACAAAUCCCAAGUGUCCAAAUAACCCAAUUCAUCACAUGUUUACUAAUCUAUUUUUCAAUCAAACCAAAUUAAACAACGAUUUAUGCUGAUCUUACCAUUAAUAAAAUACUUAACUUAAAAUAAUUUAAUCUUUAAUUAAUUGUGAUUUUUAACUAAAACGGGUUUAUAGCUAAUUAUACUCAACUUUUACACAAUUUUUACCGUUAAUUCUUUUCAACAUACCAUUAGGAACCAAAAUAAACGAAAAUUACAAAAUUAAACAACUUGCUUACCUCAAAUCUACACUUUCUCUCUCUAGAUUCUCUCUCUAAC
rnacentral:lncRNA from 1 species